rnacentral:rRNA from 1 species
UACGGGGGGAGCAAGCGUUGUUCGGAUUUACUGGGCGUAAAGGGCGCGUAGGCGGCCAGCACAAGUCAGUUGUGAAAUCUCCGAGCUUAACUCGGAAAGGUCAACUGAUACUGUGCGGCUAGAGUGCGGAAGGGGCAACUGGAAUUCUUGGUGUAGCGGUGAAAUGCGUAGAUAUCAAGAGGAACACCUGAGGCGAAGGCGGGUUGCUAGGCUGACACUGACGCUGAGUGCGCGAAAGCCAGGGGAGCAAACGGG